ensembl:lncRNA
UCUUUCUGUUAUUUAAACUGAGGCCGUUUAAAACAGAAGUUUUGUUUUCAGCACAUCUAGCAGCUACAGAAGGAGCAGCACCUGACCCACAUAACAUGUAAAGACUUUAAGAAAAUGACUUUUUUUUUUUUUUUUUUGCUAAUGCUUUGGGGUACUGUUCAUAUUUUAGAUCAGGAUCCAUCUCAGAAAACCAAAAUUUUGUUCCAGUGAGUCUCAAGCUUUGUUACGUUUAUUUGAGAAAAAAAAAAAAAAAAGCUUGUUGAUCAGUGUAAUCAGUCACUCAGGAGGAGGAGAGAAACAACGUGCUGUGGAUUAGAAACCUCUCUGUGUGAUAGUUUUAAUCACGGCAUGAUGACAUUGCUAUGUCAGCCUUUCCUUACUGAAACUUCUCAUUUCAGCCACACUCAUUUCUUUAACUCUGUACAGGAAACUUGUUUCAUGUCAGUACAAUCAGCUCUGCUGCUGCUCGGUGGUCUCCAUCCUUCUGUCCCAAAUGGCUUCUUUCAAAUUCUUCCUCUUUUUGUCUCUAAUCUCAGAGUUAACAGCUCUUCAGCAGGAUGUUCAGGUGAAGCUUGGAGAUGACGUCACUCUCCAGUGUCAGAUUUCCACAGAUGAAAUAAUCUCAGUGCUGAAGUGGAGCAGAGCUGACCUGAACACAGACGGCUACGUCUACUUCUACAGGAACAAACGCUCCUAUGAAAACUACCAACAUCCAUCUUUUCAUGGCCGAGUGAAGCUGAGGGACCCGGAGAUGAAGGAUGGAGACGUUUCUCUGAUCCUGAAGAACGUCACGUUUAAUGACACUGGGAUGUAUGAGUGUCACGUAGCAGUGAGGAACCCUGUGAGAAGUAAAAGAGCUCACACUGAGAUCAGUCACUUCAUCCACCUCACAGUCACAGGUGAAACACAUGAAAGCGUGUCAGAGAAACGAGUCGUGGAAAGAGGAGUCGCAGAUGAAAACAUGGAUGGUACUGAAAGGGUCGGAGCUCCAUCUCUUCAGUUUUCUGUGACCAAUUCUGAGGAACUUCCUUCUGACCUAUUGAAAAAACAACAGGGUAUAUGGACUUUGUCAGUGGAUAAUUUUUCCAUCCUGAUGAUCAGAAGAGUGUUUGAGGGUUUCAGAGAUCCUUCAGAUCAACACUGCUCAAACAGAGGACAAACAAAGGUGGGCGUGAAAAUGUUGACGCAGGUCACAGAUGUCUGAUAUAAAACAGCUGACAGAAAAUACAGGUUAGUUUAGUCUGCAGCUGUUUGACACAGACAUACCUUUACUUUGGGAUUUUAAACUUUUACAUUUUUUAUGAUUUGAUUUUUUUUUAUUUGUCAAAUAUUUACAUCUGAGUAACUUUUUACUUCUUUGUAACAAAACUUCAGUAGCUUCCUUUUCACCUACUGAAAAACCGAUGGGACACACUGACCUCACAGUUUUUUAUCUGUCAGUAGAUCAUUUUAUUUUUUCCACUCUGAUGAUCAGAAGAGUGUUUGAGUGUUUCAGAGAUUCUUCAGAACAGCAGUAAGUAUUUAAAUGAUGUCUUUCAGCGUUUUUAGGUAAUUUGACAGGCUGAGUGAAGCCUGUGAGCAUUAGUGGAUUAACCCGUUACUGUAACCACUAACUGGUUCAGCUGGUUAGAUGAACGUCAUGUCACGUUAGUGUAAAACAUUUGAUUCACUGUUGGCUGGUUUCAUCUGUGAAAACACAUGAAAUUAAAUGAAUUCAAUGUGUUUCAUCAGCUGAAGAACCAAAAGAUGUCAGACUUUAUCUGACAUGAUAUAAAGAAGAAAAUCACCUCAAUCACAAACAGGAAGUGUACUCAGUUACUCUCCCAUACUCUGAUUACAGUCAUGUAUGUUUUCUGUGUUUGUGCUGCUUCUUUGUCCUCACUGUAAACAGAUGUACUGAGAGACUCCUGCACUGAUGUUUCAUAGGAAAGUCCA